GACGGAGGGCGCUAGCGUUGUUCGGAAUCACUGGGCGUAAAGGGCGCGUAGGCGGCCCUGGAAGUCGGGCGUGAAAGCCCGGGGCUCAACCCCGGAACGGCGCCCGAUACUCCUGGGCUCGAGGCCGGGAGAGGGUGGUGGAAUACCCAGUGUAGAGGUGAAAUUCGUAGAUAUUGGGUGGAACACCGGUGGCGAAAGCGGCCACCUGGCCCGGUCCUGACGCUGAGGCGCGAAAGCGUGGGGAGCAAACAGG
rnacentral:rRNA from 1 species